UACGUACGAGGCAAGCGUUUAUCCGGAAUUAUUGGGCGUAAAGCGCGCGCAGGUGGCUUGUUAAGUAGGGCGUGAAAUCUCCCGGCCUAACUGGGAGGGGUCGCCCUAGACUGGGGAGCUUGAGGCUGGCAGAGGUAGGUGGAAUUCCUGGUGUAGUGGUGAAAUGCGUAGAGAUCAGGAGGAACACCGGUGGCGAAGGCGGCCUACUGGGCCAGCACUGACGCUGGAGGCGCGGAAAAGCUCGGGGAGCGAACGGG
rnacentral:rRNA from 1 species